rnacentral:snoRNA from 1 species
AUUAUUUUGAAAUUUAUAAGCAUAAAGUUUGGUUUCUUGUGCAUUUGUGUGGAAUGUGCGUUUCCCUCAAACUCUGCUACAAUGUCAGCACAUUAUCUCCUUGGUGUGAAA